AAAUAUAAUCAGACGACACUGUAGAUCAUCUUCGAUACCGUUCUCAUCUGCUUCUUUCGUUUCCAAUUUCGAUAGAACAGCUGAAAUUGAAAAUCAGAUUGUCGUUCAAUUCGAAGAGUAUUUGACCAUAAUCGGUUCUACAUGUGAAUAGCUGAUUCAUACCUCAUAAGCUCAUUUUGAUAGGAUGAAGCAUAGUAGAUGGAUAUAUUCAAGCUUGGGCAAGUCACUCUACAUCGAAUAACAGUCACAAAAAGAAGAGAAGCUUGUGAAUCAGUCAAGACUACUUCAAGGGUUUCACCAGUGUUGUUGGUAUAUUGGCGCUAAGAAUCGAGAACCUUCACCUGCACACGCCAAGAGGUUUUGUAAGGUCUUACAUCUCUCAACAGAGCAAAUUGUGAGGCCAUUAGUGCUGGUCGCAGCAACUAAGGAAAGAUUUGGUGAAUAAAAAUCGGAGCAAACUAUCAAAUUAGGCAAGAUCCGAAUGUCAAGAUUGCGGGUCAAAUUGAGAAGAUUUCCGGGUCAUAAUUUUGACCCGAUUGGGGACCCCAAAAACUGUUGCAAAAAUGUAUAGUAGAUAUGUUGGGAGGAUCUUUUAGCAAAAUAUUGGUAUUUUAAAACGGGAAAAAUGUCGAAAAAUGCGCCAACUUUCAAAUUUGGGACGAUUAAAGCAUAAACUCUCGAAAUGUCUUUUUAAUCACAAA